rnacentral:rRNA from 1 species
UACGAGAGGCGCAAACGUUAUUCGGAUUUACUGGGCUUAAAGAGUUCGUAGGCGGCGCAGCACGUUGGGUGUGAAAGCCCUCGGCUCAACCGAGGAAUUGCGCUCUAAACUACUGUGCUCGAGGGACCUAGAGGUGAGCGGAACUGAUGGUGGAGCGGUGAAAUGCGUUGAUAUCAUCAGGAACACCAGAGGCGAAGGCGGCUCGCUGGGGGUCUUCUGACGCUGAGGAGCGAAAGCCAGGGGAGCGAACGGG